rnacentral:rRNA from 1 species
UUAAGCGACUAAGCGUACACGGUGGAUGCCCUGGCAGUCAGAGGCGAUGAAGGACGUGCUAAUCUGCGAUAAGCGUCGGUAAGGUGAUAUGAACCGUUAUAACCGGCGAUUUCCGAAUGGGGAAACCCAGUGUGUUUCGACACACUAUCAUUAACUGAAUCCAUAGGUUAAUGAGGCGAACCGGGGGAACUGAAACAUCUAAGUACCCCGAGGAAAAGAAAUCAACCGAGAUUCCCCCAGUAGCGGCGAGCGAACGGGGAGCAGCCCAGAGCCUGAAUCAGUGUGUGUGUUAGUGGAAGCGUCUGGAAAGGCGCGCGAUACAGGGUGACAGCCCCGUACACAAAAAUGCACAUGCUGUGAGCUCGAUGAGUAGGGCGGGACACGUGGUAUCCUGUCUGAAUAUGGGGGGACCAUCCUCCAAGGCUAAAUACUCCUGACUGACCGAUAGUGAACCAGUACCGUGAGGGAAAGGCGAAAAGAACCCCGGCGAGGGGAGUGAAAAAGAACCUGAAACCGUGUACGUACAAGCAGUGGGAGCACGCUUAGGCGUGUGACUGCGUACCUUUUGUAUAAUGGGUCAGCGACUUAUAUUCUGUAGCAAGGUUAACCGAAUAGGGGAGCCGAAGGGAAACCGAGUCUUAACUGGGCGUUAAGUUGCAGGGUAUAGACCCGAAACCCGGUGAUCUAGCCAUGGGCAGGUUGAAGGUUGGGUAACACUAACUGGAGGACCGAACCGACUAAUGUUGAAAAAUUAGCGGAUGACUUGUGGCUGGGGGUGAAAGGCCAAUCAAACCGGGAGAUAGCUGGUUCUCCCCGAAAGCUAUUUAGGUAGCGCCUCGUGAAUUCAUCUCCGGGGGUAGAGCACUGUUUCGGCAAGGGGGUCAUCCCGACUUACCAACCCGAUGCAAACUGCGAAUACCGGAGAAUGUUAUCACGGGAGACACACGGCGGGUGCUAACGUCCGUCGUGAAGAGGGAAACAACCCAGACCGCCAGCUAAGGUCCCAAAGUCAUGGUUAAGUGGGAAACGAUGUGGGAAGGCCCAGACAGCCAGGAUGUUGGCUUAGAAGCAGCCAUCAUUUAAAGAAAGCGUAAUAGCUCACUGGUCGAGUCGGCCUGCGCGGAAGAUGUAACGGGGCUAAACCAUGCACCGAAGCUGCGGCAGCGACGCUUAUGCGUUGUUGGGUAGGGGAGCGUUCUGUAAGCCUGCGAAGGUGUGCUGUGAGGCAUGCUGGAGGUAUCAGAAGUGCGAAUGCUGACAUAAGUAACGAUAAAGCGGGUGAAAAGCCCGCUCGCCGGAAGACCAAGGGUUCCUGUCCAACGUUAAUCGGGGCAGGGUGAGUCGACCCCUAAGGCGAGGCCGAAAGGCGUAGUCGAUGGGAAACAGGUUAAUAUUCCUGUACUUGGUGUUACUGCGAAGGGGGGACGGAGAAGGCUAUGUUGGCCGGGCGACGGUUGUCCCGGUUUAAGCGUGUAGGCUGGUUUUCCAGGCAAAUCCGGAAAAUCAAGGCUGAGGCGUGAUGACGAGGCACUACGGUGCUGAAGCAACAAAUGCCCUGCUUCCAGGAAAAGCCUCUAAGCAUCAGGUAACAUCAAAUCGUACCCCAAACCGACACAGGUGGUCAGGUAGAGAAUACCAAGGCGCUUGAGAGAACUCGGGUGAAGGAACUAGGCAAAAUGGUGCCGUAACUUCGGGAGAAGGCACGCUGAUAUGUAGGUGAAGUCCCUUGCGGAUGGAGCUGAAAUCAGUCGAAGAUACCAGCUGGCUGCAACUGUUUAUUAAAAACACAGCACUGUGCAAACACGAAAGUGGACGUAUACGGUGUGACGCCUGCCCGGUGCCGGAAGGUUAAUUGAUGGGGUUAGCCGCAAGGCGAAGCUCUUGAUCGAAGCCCCGGUAAACGGCGGCCGUAACUAUAACGGUCCUAAGGUAGCGAAAUUCCUUGUCGGGUAAGUUCCGACCUGCACGAAUGGCGUAAUGAUGGCCAGGCUGUCUCCACCCGAGACUCAGUGAAAUUGAACUCGCUGUGAAGAUGCAGUGUACCCGCGGCAAGACGGAAAGACCCCGUGAACCUUUACUAUAGCUUGACACUGAACAUUGAGCCUUGAUGUGUAGGAUAGGUGGGAGGCUUAGAAGUGUGGACGCCAGUCUGCAUGGAGCCGACCUUGAAAUACCACCCUUUAAUGUUUGAUGUUCUAACGUUGACCCGUAAUCCGGGUUGCGGACAGUGUCUGGUGGGUAGUUUGACUGGGGCGGUCUCCUCCUAAAGAGUAACGGAGGAGCACGAAGGUUGGCUAAUCCUGGUCGGACAUCAGGAGGUUAGUGCAAUGGCAUAAGCCAGCUUGACUGCGAGCGUGACGGCGCGAGCAGGUGCGAAAGCAGGUCAUAGUGAUCCGGUGGUUCUGAAUGGAAGGGCCAUCGCUCAACGGAUAAAAGGUACUCCGGGGAUAACAGGCUGAUACCGCCCAAGAGUUCAUAUCGACGGCGGUGUUUGGCACCUCGAUGUCGGCUCAUCACAUCCUGGGGCUGAAGUAGGUCCCAAGGGUAUGGCUGUUCGCCAUUUAAAGUGGUACGCGAGCUGGGUUUAGAACGUCGUGAGACAGUUCGGUCCCUAUCUGCCGUGGGCGCUGGAGAACUGAGGGGGGCUGCUCCUAGUACGAGAGGACCGGAGUGGACGCAUCACUGGUGUUCGGGUUGUCAUGCCAAUGGCACUGCCCGGUAGCUAAAUGCGGAAGAGAUAAGUGCUGAAAGCAUCUAAGCACGAAACUUGCCCCGAGAUGAGUUCUCCCUGACUCCUUGAGAGUCCUGAAGGAACGUUGAAGACGACGACGUUGAUAGGCCGGGUGUGUAAGCGCAGCGAUGCGUUGAGCUAACCGGUACUAAUGAACCGUGAGGCUUAACCUU